rnacentral:rRNA from 1 species
GAUGAACGCUGGCGGCGUGCCUAAUACAUGCAAGUCGAACGAACAGACGCGGCGCUUGUUCCUUUCACGUUAGCGGCGCGCGUGUGUGAAACGCGUGGAAAACCUCCCUAUCUGACUGGGAUCACUUCGGGAAUCCGGCGCUAAUACCGGAUAAUAUAUUGCACCGCAUGGUUCAAUAGUGAAAGUCGGCUUUGCUGUCACUUAUCGAUGGAUACGCGCCGCAUUAUCUAGUUGGUAAGGUAACGGGUUACCAAGGCAACGCUGCGUAGCCGACCUGCUGGGGGGAUCGGCCACACGGGAACGGAGACACGCUCCAGGCUCCUACGGGAGGCACCAGUAGGGAAUCUGCCGCAAUGGGCGAAAGCUUGACGGAGCAACGCCGCGUGAGUGAUGAAGGUCUUCCGAUCGUAAAACUCUGUUAUUAGGGAAGAACAAAUGUGUAAGUAACUAUGCACGUCUUGACGGUACCGAAUCAGAAAGCCACGGCUAACUACGUG